GGCAGCCGGGUGAGCUGUGUGUCCUGCAGACAGGCUGCUCACAGAGGAGACUCCCCCAGAGUCCUGACUGGCUUCAUAGGGAGCAGUUCCAGAGCAUCGCCUGGGGACUCCGUGACAAUUGGUGCUAGCGGUGGGAUGUACUGUACCCUGGGGAUGGCGCUUCCUGCACGAGCGCCAGGCUGGGCC